UCAUCGGUGGUUCAGUGGUAGAAUGCUCGCCUGCCAUGCGGGCGGCCCGGGUUCGAUUCCCGGUCGAUGCG
rnacentral:tRNA from 1 species